GCAUAAAAUGAAGGUUUCACUGUUUUAUCUGUAUUCUCAAUAAAGUGAUACUAUAUUACGUAGUACAUCCAUUUAAAUUCAAUUUAUUAAGAUUUUUCGCUUAGUUUCGGUUCAUUCAGUCUGGUUUACAUCGAAACUUCUUAGUUGAUUCGCAAUUGUAAAGCGAUACAAACUUAGUUGCCAACAGUUGAGCAACUAUUUGUCGAAAAGAAAGAGUGUAUUAAUUUUCGUUGGUUUGGUGCUAACUUUGAUGGGCUGUGUAUAACUGUAUGUAAGUCACAAAUAUUCAUACUGGAAGCGUAAGAAUAUUUGCUAUUUAAAGCCAGUGUUUUCUGUUGACAAUUUUGUAAAGAAUAUUCUGCAAAAAUUAUCUAUUACGAUAUUUUUAAUGGUUUCUUCGCUGCAUUACGGCCGUCUUUGCUGAUUCGCGAUCUUAAGAUCAUUCGCAAUAUUCAUAUAUAUAUAAUCAAGUGAAAUUCGCAGCACCAAGACAUUCACAGAAAGACCGUACCUACGAUUCGGAUUCAGGCCAAGGAAUUUCAAUUGCAUCGGUUUGAGAUUGGCGAAAAUACAAACGAAGAUUGGAUUGGUGUUAAUGCUGCAACGAUUUCAUUUUGAACUGGCCGCUGAACACAUUGGCAAAGAAUUGAAAUACUCACUGGCUUCCGUUAUUCCAGUACCCAUCUC